rnacentral:lncRNA from 1 species
AUCCCCCCAAAUGAAGUCCAUACUUAAUUUGCUCAAUUUAUUAUUUUUGAAAAUGGAUUUACUGCUUUUUUGUUUCCAAAACAAGUCAUGAGAAUUGGCAAUAGAUUUUCAGUCCAUCAAAAAGAUAACUAACACCAGAACUGAAUUCCAUCUUCCGACAUGGUCCACCUUACUUUAAUUAUUUAAGGUGGGAUACCUCAGGUAAAUUAUAGCGAAAUACAAAUUUAGGUUCAGGUCUUUCACAUUAGUAGGGAGGCAAAGGACCACAAAUCGACAACGGUGACCACAUUAAGAGGGAAAAACUUGGUAACACUCGAAAAAUCAAAUAAUGGUUGGGAAAAUAUCACAGAGAGGGCAUAACUCCUUACAAAAAUUAUCAAAUGUGCCAAAACUUUUCUCACUAUUAAUUAAACAGGUACCUCUUAAAAAAUAUAUCUUUAAAACUGCCUGCCCAAUGUGUUUUUGGUUUGGGAAUCCUCAUUAAGUAGGGACAUUUUAGUAAUUUAACCUACCUAAGAGGCCCAAAACAAAUGAUAGGAGUACCCCUGCUUGUCUAAAGCAGAUUAAAUUAUUAAAAUGCCUCUACCUGUUUAGGGUUGGGAACCCUAAACAAGGGAAAUUGAGUAUUUUUAAUUAUUUUUAGGAAGGUGUCAAAGUGAAAUUUAAAAAAGGAAAUAAAUCUAC